UACAGCAUUUCGUUCUGGAGACCCAGUCUCCAUAAGUAUAUUGACUUCUUGGAGAGAGUUCAGAGGAGAGCUACCAAAAUGAUCUUUCCAAUAGCAAUACAAAACAGCUAUAGAAAAUGGCAGAUGAUCUAAAGCGAAUGAGAAAACAGCUCAUUGAUCGCCUGAAUGUAGCGGUGAUAAACUGCCUCCUGGACAGACUGCUGAGUGAGCAGGUGAUCAAUGAUGCAGAGAAAGAACUGGUAACCCUACAGAAUUUGGUGACAUCGGACAAAGCUAGGUGUCUAGUCGACAUGAUCAUAAAAAAAGGAAACAAGGCUUCAGAACUAUUUAAAUGUGCACUGAAAGAGGAAGAUCCAACGUUAAGUAGAGAAUUGGAAUGGUUAUAAAACAUGUUUAACCAAUCACCAUGCCUAUCUACCUAUUUUCCAGAGAAAAAUUUGUUUUUGGAUAUAA